GUUGUAUGGUUAAGUGACUAAGCGUACACGGUGGAUGCCUGGGCAGUCAGAGGCGAUGAAGGACGUACUAACUUGCGAUAAGCGCAGAUAAGGCAGUAAGAGCCGUUUGAGUCUGCGAUUUCCGAAUGGGGAAACCCAACUGCAUAAGCAGUUACUGUUAACUGAAUACAUAGGUUAACAGAGCAAACCGGGGGAACUGAAACAUCUAAGUACCCCGAGGAGAAGAAAUCAACCGAGAUUCCGGUAGUAGCGGCGAGCGAACCUGGAUUAGCCCUUAAGCACUCGGUGAAGUAGGUGAACAAGCUGGAAAGCUUGGCGAUACAGGGUGAUAGCCCCGUAACCGACGCUUCAUCGAGCGUGAAAUCGAGUAGGGCGGGACACGUGAUAUCCUGUCUGAAUAUGGGGGGACCAUCCUCCAAGGCUAAAUACUCCUGACUGACCGAUAGUGAACCAGUACCGUGAGGGAAAGGCGAAAAGAACCCCUGUGAGGGGAGUGAAAUAGAACCUGAAACCGUGUACGUACAAGCAGUAGGAGCACCUUCGUGGUGUGACUGCGUACCUUUUGUAUAAUGGGUCAGCGACUUAUAUUCAGUGGCAAGGUUAACCGUAUAGGGGAGCCGUAGCGAAAGCGAGUCUUAACUGGGCGCUCAGUCUCUGGAUAUAGACCCGAAACCGGGUGAUCUAGCCAUGGGCAGGUUGAAGGUUGAGUAACAUCAACUGGAGGACCGAACCGACUAAUGUUGAAAAAUUAGCGGAUGACUUGUGGCUAGGGGUGAAAGGCCAAUCAAACUCGGAGAUAGCUGGUUCUCCCCGAAAGCUAUUUAGGUAGCGCCUCGGACGAAUACUACUGGGGGUAGAGCACUGUUAAGGCUAGGGGGUCAUCCCGACUUACCAACCCUUUGCAAACUCCGAAUACCAGUAAGUACUAUCCGGGAGACACACGGCGGGUGCUAACGUCCGUCGUGGAGAGGGAAACAACCCAGACCGCCAGCUAAGGUCCCAAAGUAUUGCUAAGUGGGAAACGAUGUGGGAAGGCUCAGACAGCUAGGAUGUUGGCUUAGAAGCAGCCAUCAUUUAAAGAAAGCGUAAUAGCUCACUAGUCGAGUCGGCCUGCGCGGAAGAUGUAACGGGGCUAAGCAAUACACCGAAGCUGCGGCAAUGUCUUUUAGACAUUGGGUAGGGGAGCGUUCUGUAAGCCGUUGAAGGUGAAUCGUAAGGUUUGCUGGAGGUAUCAGAAGUGCGAAUGCUGACAUGAGUAACGACAAAGGGGGUGAAAAACCUCCUCGCCGGAAGACCAAGGGUUCCUGUCCAACGUUAAUCGGGGCAGGGUGAGUCGACCCCUAAGGUGAGGCCGAAAGGCGUAAUCGAUGGGAAACGGGUUAAUAUUCCCGUACUUCUGACUAUUGCGAUGGGGGGACGGAGAAGGCUAGGUGGGCCAGGCGACGGUUGUCCUGGUUCAAGUGCGUAGGCUUGAGAGUUAGGUAAAUCCGGCUCUCUUUAAGGCUGAGACACGACGUCGAGCUGCUACGGCAGUGAAGUCAUUGAUGCCAUGCUUCCAGGAAAAGCCUCUAAGCUUCAGAUAGUCAGGAAUCGUACCCCAAACCGACACAGGUGGUCGGGUAGAGAAUACCAAGGCGCUUGAGAGAACUCGGGUGAAGGAACUAGGCAAAAUGGUACCGUAACUUCGGGAGAAGGUACGCUCUUGAUGGUGAAGUCCCUUGCGGAUGGAGCUGACGAGAGUCGCAGAUACCAGGUGGCUGCAACUGUUUAUUAAAAACACAGCACUGUGCAAAAUCGCAAGAUGACGUAUACGGUGUGACGCCUGCCCGGUGCCGGAAGGUUAAUUGAUGGGGUUAGCGCAAGCGAAGCUCUUGAUCGAAGCCCCGGUAAACGGCGGCCGUAACUAUAACGGUCCUAAGGUAGCGAAAUUCCUUGUCGGGUAAGUUCCGACCUGCACGAAUGGCGUAAUGAUGGCCACGCUGUCUCCACCCGAGACUCAGUGAAAUUGAAAUCGCUGUGAAGAUGCAGUGUACCCGCGGCUAGACGGAAAGACCCCGUGAACCUUUACUACAGCUUGGCACUGAACAUUGAACCUACAUGUGUAGGAUAGGUGGGAGGCUAUGAAGACGUGACGCCAGUUGCGUUGGAGCCGUCCUUGAAAUACCACCCUUGUAUGUUUGAUGUUCUAACUUAGACCCAUUAUCUGGGUUGAGGACAGUGCCUGGUGGGUAGUUUGACUGGGGCGGUCUCCUCCCAAAGAGUAACGGAGGAGCACGAAGGUGGGCUAAUCACGGUUGGACAUCGUGAGGUUAGUGCAAUGGCAUAAGCCCGCUUAACUGCGAGAAUGACGGUUCGAGCAGGUGCGAAAGCAGGUCAUAGUGAUCCGGUGGUUCUGUAUGGAAGGGCCAUCGCUCAACGGAUAAAAGGUACUCCGGGGAUAACAGGCUGAUACCGCCCAAGAGUUCAUAUCGACGGCGGUGUUUGGCACCUCGAUGUCGGCUCAUCACAUCCUGGGGCUGAAGUCGGUCCCAAGGGUAUGGCUGUUCGCCAUUUAAAGUGGUACGCGAGCUGGGUUUAGAACGUCGUGAGACAGUUCGGUCCCUAUCUGCCGUGGGCGUUGGAAGAUUGAAGGGGGCUGCUCCUAGUACGAGAGGACCGGAGUGGACGAACCUCUGGUGUUCGGGUUGUGUCGCCAGACGCAUUGCCCGGUAGCUAAGUUCGGAAUUGAUAAGCGCUGAAAGCAUCUAAGCGCGAAGCGAGCCCUGAGAUGAGUCUUCCCUGA
rnacentral:rRNA from 1 species